rnacentral:rRNA from 1 species
GGUCUUUUGUUGAUAAUUUAAGAUUUAGCCUGCCCACUGAGGAAUUAAAUGGCCGCGGUAAUUUGACCGUGCUAAGGUAGCAUAAUCAUUAGUUUUUUAAUUGAAAGCUGGAAUGAAUGGUUGGAUAAGAAAAUAACUGUCUCUAUUAUAAUUUUAUUGAAUUUUAUUUUUAAGUAAAAAAGCUUAAAUAAGUUUAAAAGACGAGAAGACCCUAUAGAGUUUAAUAAAGUUUUAAUUGUAAAUUUUUAGUAGUUUUAAAUUAUAGUUAAAAUUUUAUUUGGUUGGGGUGAUUGAAAAACUUAAUAAACUUUUUUUUUAUGAUUACAUUAAUGAGUGUAUAUAUGAUCCAUAUAUUUAUGAUUAUUAGAUUAAAUUACCUUAGGGAUAACAGCGUAAUUUUUUUUGAGAGUUCAAAUCGAAAGGAGAGAUUGCGACCUCGAUGUUGGAUUAAAGUUAAUUUUUGGUGUAGAGGCUAAAAAUUUUAGGUCUGUUCGACCUUUGGAACUUUACAUGA